rnacentral:rRNA from 1 species
AACCUGGUUGGGUGGUCUGCCUUCACGGUACGUACUGCUUGGCCGGGUUCUACCUCUUGGUGAGCCAGCAUGCCCUUCACUGGGUGUGUCGGGGAACCAGGACUUUUACCUUGAAAAAAUUAGAGUGUUCAAAGCAGGCGUAAGCCAUUGAAUAUUACAGCAUGGGAUAAUAGAAUAUGA